GUCCCAGUAGCUCAGCUGGAUAGAGCACCUGCCUUCUAAGCCGGUGGCCGCAGGUUCGAAUCCUGCCUGGGACG
rnacentral:tRNA from 1 species